CGGUAACAGUAAAAGCUGUUUGUGGGACCAGUCGUGGCAUCAGUGGCACCAGCCGACGACCUUCUAUGGACCACUCAGAGGAGCUGUUUGGUCCAGACAUACUAAACAGAAAUGCAUGUUUUAGCUGUUCAAGGGCCAGAGGUGUGUGAAUGCCAUACUCAAACCCCCCACAUUAGGUUAGCUACUAUUCAGGUACAGUUGCUGUACUCUCUACUUCUGGAUUAUGAAAAUACCAAGAAACCAAACAGAUAUCAUAAAAGACUGUUGAAACAGAUAAUAUUACAGGCAAAAACUCUCAGCUUCUAAGGCAAAUUUUGUUUUACCUGAACAGAAGAGCUUCUGGUGCUUAUUAAAGUAGUUCCAAACCAA